rnacentral:rRNA from 1 species
UCAAGAUGAGAUUUCCCAUAGCAUAAGCUAGUAAGACCCCUUGAAGACUACAAGGUUGAUAGGUCAGAGGUGUAAGUAUGGUGACAUAUUUAGCUGACUGAUACUAAUAGGUCGAGGGCUUGACCAAUAUAA